rnacentral:rRNA from 1 species
GACAGAGGGUGCAAACGUUGCUCGGAAUCACUGGGCGUAAAGGGCGCGUAGGCGGCCUUCUAAGUCGACCGUGAAAUCCCCGGGCUCAACCCGGGAACUGCGUCCGAGACUGAAAGGCUUGAAUCCGGGAGAGGGAUGUGGAAUUCCAGGUGUAGCGGUGAAAUGCGUAGAUAUCUGGAGGAAUACCGGUGGCGAAGGCGGCAUCCUGGACCGACAUUGACGCUGAGGAGCGAAAGCUAGGGGAGCAAACGGG